AUUGAACGCUGGCGGCAGGCCUAACACAUGCAAGUCGAACGGCAGCACAGAAGAGCUUGCUCUUUGGGUGGCGAGUGGCGGACGGGUGAGUAAUGUCUGGGAAACUGCCCGAUGGAGGGGGAUAACUACUGGAAACGGUAGCUAAUACCGCAUAACGUCGCGAGACCAAAGUGGGGGACCUUCGGGCCUCACACCAUCGGAUGUGCCCAGAUGGGAUUAGCUAGUAGGUGGGGUAAUGGCUCACCUAGGCGACGAUCCCUAGCUGGUGUGAGAGGAUGACAAGCCACAGUGGAACUGAGACGCGGGCCAGACUCCUACGGGAGGCAGCAGUGGGGAAUAUUGGACAAUGGGCGCAAGCCUGAUGCAGCCAUGCCGCGUGUAUGAAGAAGGCCUUCGGGUUGUAAAGUACUUUCAGCGGGGAGGAAGGCGGUGAGGUUAAUAACCUCGGCGAUUGACGUUACCCGCAGAAGAAGCACCGGCUAACUCCGUGCCAGCCGCCGCAGUAA
rnacentral:rRNA from 1 species